AAGGGUUUCGGCUCGUAAAACUCUGUUGUUAAAGAAGAACAUAUCUGAGAGUAACUGUUCAGGUAUUGACGGUAUUUAACCAGAAAGCCACGGCUAACUACGUGCCAGCAGCCGCGGUAAUACGUAGGUGGCAAGCGUUGUCCGGAUUUAUUGGGCGUAAAGCGAGCGCAGGCGGUUUUUUAAGUCUGAUGUGAAAGCCUUCGGCUCAACCGAAGAAGUGCAUCGGAAACUGGGAAACUUGAGUGCAGAAGAGGACAGUGGAACUCCAUGUGUAGCGGUGAAAUGCGUAGAUAUAUGGAAGAACACCAGUGGCGAAGGCGGCUGUCUGGUCUGUAACUGACGCUGAGGCUCGAAAGUAUGGGUAGCAAACAGGAUUAGAUACCCUGGUAGUCCAUACCGUAAACGAUGAAUGCUAAGUGUUGGAGGGUUUCCGCCCUUCAGUGCUGCAGCUAACGCAUUAAGCAUUCCGCCUGGGGAGUACGGCCGCAAGGCUGAAACUCAAAGGAAUUGACGGGGGCCCGCACAAGCGGUGGAGCAUGUGGUUUAAUUCGAAGCUACGCGAAGAACCUUACCAGGUCUUGACAUACUAUGCAAAUCUAAGAGAUUAGACGUUCCCUUCGGGGACAUGGAUACAGGUGGUGCAUGGUUGUCGUCAGCUCGUGUCGUGAGAUGUUGGGUUAAGUCCCGCAACGAGCGCAACCCUUAUUAUCAGUUGCCAGCAUUAAGUUGGGCACUCUGGUGAGACUGCCGGUGACAAACCGGAGGAAGGUGGGGAUGACGUCAAAUCAUCAUGCCCCUUAUGACCUGGGCUACACACGUGCUACAAUGGAUGGUACAACGAGUUGCGAACUCGCGAGAGUAAGCUAAUCUCUUAAAGCCAUUCUCAGUUCGGAUUGUAGGCUGCAACUCGCCUACAUGAAGUCGGAAUCGCUAGUAAUCGCGGAUCAGCAUGCCGCGGUGAAUACGUUCCCGGGCCUUGUACACACCGCCCGUCACACCAUGAGAGUUUGUAACACCCAAAGUCGGUGGGGU
rnacentral:rRNA from 2 species